rnacentral:rRNA from 1 species
CCUACGGGGGGCAGCAGUGGGGAAUAUUGGACAAUGGGGGGAACCCUGAUCCAGCCAUGCCGCGUGUGUGAAGAAGGCCCUCGGGUUGUAAAGCACUUUCAGUGAGGAAGAACGCCUGGUGGUUAAUACCCAUCAGGAAAGACAUCACUCACAGAAGAAGCACCGGCUAACUCCGUGCCAGCAGCCGCGGUAAUACGGAGGGUGCGAGCGUUAAUCGGAAUUACUGGGCGUAAAGCGCGCGUAGGUGGCUUGAUAAGCCGGUUGUGAAAGCCCCGGGCUCAACCUGGGAACGGCAUCCGGAACUGUCGAGCUAGAGUGCAGGAGAGGAAGGUAGGAUUCCCGGUGUAGCGGUGAAAUGCGUAGAGAUCGGGAGGAGUACCAGUGGCGAAGGCGGCCUUCUGGACUGACACUGACGCUGAGGGGCGAAAGCGGGGGUAGCGAGCAGGAUUAGAGACCCUGGUAGGC